rnacentral:lncRNA from 1 species
GUACAAUGGAGAGUGCUAGUGUGGUGUCACAUGGUGCAACAUGGCUCAGUGUUGUGUGAAACUAAGGAGUAAUUUUGAUGGGGAUGGCUUAUGUUCUACUGCCACCUCGUGGUGGGCAUUCUGUGAACAUGCAUCUUGGAACAGUGGGGAGAACCAGUUUGGACUUCUGAGGAUCCAAAAGCCCAAGAAAAAAAUCUGAGUUCUCACGACAAAGUCACUUCCUGCUACAACACCUGGAAAAUGUCAUGACCCGAGCUAGUCUCACUUCAGGGUCCCUGGUUUCUAGUACGGUGCCUGACAGAUAGAUGACUUUCUUUAUAUGUUGCUGAAGACAGGCAGAGAGGAAGAAAGGAAGAGAGGAUAAAGGGAGGAAUAAACUUGAUAUAAGCAUCCUGAUGAAUUGGAUUCCAAAAAGGAGAUAUUGUUGUCCAGGCCACACCAUACGGGACUUACCACUCCCAGUUGCUAACAUCUGCACGUAUUUGCCUGGAGGUCUCCUCUGGUCACCAGAUCCUACUCUGCCUGGGCCACAUGACAAGGUGAUGUGCUGAGGAACAAAAGCCCCCAGGAGUAUCCCUCAAGCAGUGUUGGACUGGAGUUGAGGAGGUCAUGAUCCACAUGAAAAACUGAGGGAAGACAUCCAGGACCUGCUGGAGAGCACAUGGAAAAAAGUUGGGACACAGAAAAGGAAAGCAGCAAGAGUCGGGCAGAGAUUGAUCCCCAAGGAACUUGGAAUACCAUGGGAAAGGUUAAUCGUCCUCGAAGAGAGAGAGAAACAAAAGAAAAAUGAAAAAAGGAAAGAAAUUUUCUCCACAAAGACUC